rnacentral:rRNA from 1 species
UGGGGAAUUUUGGACAAUGGGCGAAAGCCUGAUCCAGCCAUACCGCGUGAGUGAAGAAGGCCUUCGGGUUGUAAAGCUCUUUCAGCCGGAAAGAAAUCGCACUUCUUAAUACGAAGUGUGGAUGACGGUACCGGAAGAAGAAGCACCGGCUAACUACGUGCCAGCAGCCGCGGUAAUACGUAGGGUGCGAGCGUUAAUCGGAAUUACUGGGCGUAAAGCGUGCGCAGGCGGUUUUGUAAGCCAGAUGUGAAAUCCCCGGGCUUAACCUGGGAACUGCAUUUGGAACUGUAAGACUAGAGUAUAGCAGAGGGGGGUAGAAUUCCACGUGUAGCAGUGAAAUGCGUAGAUAUGUGGAGGAAUACCAAUGGCGAAGGCAGCCCCCUGGGUUAAUACUGACGCUCAUGCACGAAAGCGUGGGGAGCAAACAGG